rnacentral:rRNA from 1 species
CAGUCGCCGCGGUAACACGAAGGGGGCUAGCGUUGCUCGGAAUCACUGGGCGUAAAGGGUGCGUAGGCGGGUCUUUAAGUCAGGGGUGAAAUCCUGGAGCUCAACUCCAGAACUGCCUUUGAUACUGAAGAUCUUGAGUUCGGGAGAGGUGAGUGGAACUGCGAGUGUAGAGGUGAAAUUCGUAGAUAUUCGCAAGAACACCAGUGGCGAAGGCGGCUCACUGGCCCGAUACUGACGCUGAGGCACGAAAGCGUGGGGAGCAAACAGGAUUAGAUACCCCUGUAGUCCCUGUCUCUUAUAC